CACCGGUGACCAUGGCAUGACACGCUCAUGGAUUCGCGGAUGGCAACAUUACAUUUAGCUUGAAAAAACAAAUUGAUGUCACUAUCUAGGCGAGGAAGAAAUCCAUUUUAGAGAGACGGAUUGAAUAGUAGAUCGCCGAUGGCUUAUUUGCUGGCCGCCUACAAAGAUCGAGAUCACAUGACUGUAGCCAUGAGCUGUCUACAAAAACCAUUUCGCACGUUCCGAUGAACGAAAUGUGUAAAGUGGCCUUCUAUAAACCAUUUCACAUAUUCCAGUCAACAAGAUGUG
rnacentral:lncRNA from 1 species